UCGAGAAUCAUUCGCAAUGGGCGAAAGCCUGACGGUGCGACGCCGCGUGGAGGAUGAAGGCCCUAGGGUCGUAAACUCCUGUCAUCAGGGAGUAAUGGCUCAUAUAGUAACUGAUAUGGGUCUUGAUAGUACCUGAAGAGGAAGGGACGGCAAACUUCGUGCCAGCAGCCGCGGUAAUACGAAGGUCCCAAGCGUUGUUCGGAUUUACUGGGCGUAAAGAGUCUGUAGGCGGUGGGGUAAGUCAGAUGUGAAAUCCCGGGGCUCAACCCCGGAACUGCAUCCGAUACUGCCUUACUUGAGGGUCGGAGGGGAGUCUGGAAUUCUCGGUGUAGCAGUGAAAUGCGUAGAUAUCGAGAGGAACACUAGUGGCGAAGGCGAGACUCUGGACGACAACUGACGCUGAGAGACGAAGGCCAGGGGAGCGAAAAGGAUUAGAUACCCAAGUAGUCCCUGAGCGGGCUGGCAAGGCGCAU
rnacentral:rRNA from 1 species